CCUAUGGGAGGCAGCAGUGGGGAAUCUUGCGCAAUGGGCGAAAGCCUGACGCAGCCAUGCCGCGUGAAUGAUGAAGUCUUAGGAUGUAAAUUCUUUCAGUAGGGACGAUAAUGACGGUACCUACAGAAGAAGCCCCGGCUAACUUCGUGCCAGCAGCCGCGGUAAUACGAAGGGGGCUAGCGUUGCUCGGAAUUACUGGGCGUAAAGGGAGCGUAGGCGGACAUUUAAGUCAGGGGUGAAAUCCCAGAGCUCAACUCUGGAACUGCCUUUGAUACUGGGUGUCUUGAGUGUGAUAGAGGUAUGUGGAACUCCGAGUGUAGAGGUGAAAUUCGUAGAUAUUCGGAAGAACACCAGUGGCGAAGGCGACAUACUGGAUCAUUACUGACGCUGAGGCUCGAAAGCGUGGGGAGCAAACAGGAUUAGAUACCCUGGUAGUCCACGACCGUAACGAUGAUGCUAGUUGUCGGUUGUUUACUAACUCGGUGACGCAGCUACGACAUUAAGUACGAACUACCGCCGUGGGGUAGGUACGGUCGGCGAAGAAGUUAAACGUUAACUUAAAUUAGUAAGUUAGUUACGGCGUUGAGGACGUGCCGACGGACGACCGACGAGGGGAGGUUAGG
rnacentral:rRNA from 1 species